GUCGAGCGGACAGAUGGGAGCUUGCUCCCUGAUGUUAGCGGCGGACGGGUGAGUAACACGUGGGUAACCUGCCUGUAAGACUGGGAUAACUCCGGGAAACCGGGGCUAAUACCGGAUGGUUGUUUGAACCGCAUGGUUCAAACAUAAAAGGUGGCUUCGGCUACCACUUACAGAUGGACCCGCGGCGCAUUAGCUAGUUGGUGAGGUAACGGCUCACCAAGGCGACGAUGCGUAGCCGACCUGAGAGGGUGAUCGGCCACACUGGGACUGAGACACGGCCCAGACUCCUACGGGAGGCAGCAGUAGGGAAUCUUCCGCAAUGGACGAAAGUCUGACGGAGCAACGCCGCGUGAGUGAUGAAGGUUUUCGGAUCGUAAAGCUCUGUUGUUAGGGAAGAACAAGUACCGUUCGAAUAGGGCGGUACCUUGACGGUACCUAACCAGAAAGCCACGGCUAACUACGUGCCAGCAGCCGCGGUAAUACGUAGGUGGCAAGCGUUGUCCGGAAUUAUUGGGCGUAAAGGGCUCGCAGGCGGUUUCUUAAGUCUGAUGUGAAAGCCCCCGGCUCAACCGGGGAGGGUCAUUGGAAACUGGGGAACUUGAGUGCAGAAGAGGAGAGUGGAAUUCCACGUGUAGCGGUGAAAUGCGUAGAGAUGUGGAGGAACACCAGUGGCGAAGGCGACUCUCUGGUCUGUAACUGACGCUGAGGAGCGAAAGCGUGGGGAGCGAACAGGAUUAGAUACCCUGGUAGUCCACGCCGUAAACGAUGAGUGCUAAGUGUUAGGGGGUUUCCGCCCCUUAGUGCUGCAGCUAACGCAUUAAGCACUCCGCCUGGGGAGUACGGUCGCAAGACUGAAACUCAAAGGAAUUGACGGGGGCCCGCACAAGCGGUGGAGCAUGUGGUUUAAUUCGAAGCAACGCGAAGAACCUUACCAGGUCUUGACAUCCUCUGACAAUCCUAGAGAUAGGACGUCCCCUUCGGGGGCAGAGUGACAGGUGGUGCAUGGUUGUCGUCAGCUCGUGUCGUGAGAUGUUGGGUUAAGUCCCGCAACGAGCGCAACCCUUGAUCUUAGUUGCCAGCAUUCAGUUGGGCACUCUAAGGUGACUGCCGGUGACAAACCGGAGGAAGGUGGGGAUGACGUCAAAUCAUCAUGCCCCUUAUGACCUGGGCUACACACGUGCUACAAUGGACAGAACAAAGGG
rnacentral:rRNA from 1 species